GUGAAAUAAUAAUGUUGCAAAUGUAAUGUUAAUUAUCUUGUAUUAUAUAUGCUCCAAUCCAAUAUAUUCUCUAUAUUUCUCUUAAAGAAACCACUGCUCAGUUGGAAAAAACAGAGACAAUUUCUCCUACCAUUGCUCAGCAAGAGGACAACACAGAGCCAGUAGUAAGCUUGGACGAUGUCACCAUGUCCCCUGCGAGAGUAAAAUGCCCUUCUUGCCAGAAGAUUGUCAGCACUGAGAUCUUCUAUAAACUGGGCAGCAAUGCCUUUCUCUUUUGCUGUCUCUUAUCUGUGGUAGGGUAAGUACUCUAUAGUGAAUAAUCAAUAAGCACACAAGCAAAAGUGCUGUUUUUCCAAAUAUUGC